rnacentral:lncRNA from 1 species
CUCUUUUUGUGCAUUUAUUAGUAUGUUGUGGUUACUAUACGUAGGGACGUCAAUGGGUAUGGCUACCCGAAAUUUUAUCCGAAUCGAACCCAAACGGAGUGCAUUUAUCCGAUGUUAAAUGGAUAUAGUUUUGGAUAUGGAUAUCAAAAAUAAAAAUUCGACGGAUAUGAAUUUGACUGUACCCGACCCGAACCCAAACCCGACCCUAACUCAAUCCGAACCCAAAUUUAUUUAAAUAUAACAUGUAAAUCAAAAUUUGAUGUUAUAUUUGAAUUUGUAUUUUAAAAAUUUAGAUUUGAUGCAAUAUAUUUAGAAAUAUUGAAAAGAAAAUUAAUUGUUUCGGGUUUGGAUUUUUGGGUUUGGUUUCUGGUUUUGAAUUUUUGGUCGGGUCGGGUUAGGGUUUGGAUAUGGAUUUAUAAAAUUCGUCGGUUUUGGUUUUGGGGUUGGAGUCGGGUUCUAGUUUGGGUUCGGGUUCGAGUUCGGAUUUUUGAAAAUCUAUUCUGAAUCCGCCAUGUUGACAUCCCUAACCAUAUGGUAUGUAUGAAAAAUUCUUUAAAAAAUUAUCAUGAAAUGCACAUAUUAGUACAUUUUAAUUUGUUACCUAGGUACUAUGUACUUCUUUUUGCAGUAAGUAUUAUUUUGCUUAAUACAUUAUAGUUAAAGAGAGUUGGAGAUUAAACAAAAAACCUUGAACAACAUCCCAAACUCAUUAAAUGUAGAUGUUAAUUCAUUUAUAGGUGAUUAUUAAUUUUCAUCUUAUUU